rnacentral:rRNA from 1 species
CGCUGGCGGCAGGCCUAACACAUGCAAGUCGAACGGCAGCACAGAAGAGCUUGCUCUUUGGGUGGCGAGUGGCGGACGGGUGAGUAACACGUAGGAAUCUACCCAGUAGUGGGGGAUAACCUGGGGAAACCCAGGCUAAUACCGCAUACGCCCUGAGGGGGAAAGCGGGGGAUCUUCGGACCUCGCGCUAUUGGAUGAGCCUGCGUCGGAUUAGCUAGUUGGUGGGGUAAGGGCUCACCAAGGCGACGAUCCGUAGCUGGUCUGAGAGGAUGACCAGUCACACCGGAACUGAGACACGGUCCGGACUCCUACGGGAGGCAGCAGUGGGGAAUAUUGGACAAUGGGCGCAAGCCUGAUCCAGCCAUGCCGCGUGGGUGAAGAAGGCCUUCGGGUUGUAAAGCCCUUUAGGUGGGGAGGAAGGCAUUCAUGCUAAUACCAUGGAUGAUUGACGUUACCCACAGAAUAAGCACCGGCUAACUCCGUG